UUGAAUUUUAAUGAAGAGUUUGGUUGUAGCUGGCCCAUUCAUUUGGGCAUGUGCACACCUUCCUCUUUCAUCCCACACACACCUGUGAACCUGUGAGACAGAGAUGGGGAAUUUACUUGCUGCUUUUGGAAUACAAAGGCAAUAGGUUAUUGGACCCCCCCUCUGUCUACUCAAUUAAUAUAAACUCAAUUUAUUUUAAAACGAAUGUAAUGGAUGUAACACAUCUCAUAC
rnacentral:misc_RNA from 1 species